UCGGCUGUGGUGUAAUCGGCAACACCUGCGACUUUGGAUCGCAAGUUUCAGGUUCGAGUCCUGGCAGCCGAG
rnacentral:tRNA from 1 species